rnacentral:lncRNA from 1 species
UGAGAUUAAGUAUCAAGAUGGAAUUAAGUUAUUAACACUAUUAUAAGAAUAAGAUAUAUGAUCUCAGGAGAAUACUGUUAUGAGAAUAAGUUAUAUGAUCUUUAUGAGAAUUGACUUGAUGCAAAUCUUCGAAUAUGAUAUUUAAAUGAAAUGCCUUGAUAUGUAUCUGAUAUGAUGAUAUGUUUGGUAUGGGAGUUAUAUAGGUCAUUGGAUUGCGUGCUAUAUAGAAUAAGAGAUGUUUAUGGAUUUUUCUUGUAAGGGAAUUAAAGAGGAUAUUAAGGAUCUAAUCGGUGUUAUGCAAAAUAAGUUUAUGUAUUUUAAAUAUGG